rnacentral:misc_RNA from 1 species
GAUGAAGAACGUAGCGAAAUGCGAUAAGUAAUGUGAAUUGCAGAAUUCAGUGAAUCAUCGAAUCUUUGAACGCAUCUUGCGCUCCUUGGUAUUCUGAGGAGCAUGCCUGUUUGAGUGUCAUUAAUUUCUCAACUACACUGACUUUGAAUUGGUGUGGCUUGGAUUUGGGGGGAAAAUUGUUGUGGGCUUUUUGUAUAGUCUGCUCCCCUGAAAUUGAUUAGCGGUACCUUUGUGGAACUGUCUACAGGUGUGAUAAUUAUCUACAUCUUAGACAUCUGCUGGAAUGCUGCUUUCUAAACCUUACUUGUAUUGACAAUCUUGACCUCAAAUCAGGUAGGACUACCCGCUGAACUUAAGCAUAUCAAUAAGCGGAGGA